UGGGUGAUCUGCCCUGCACUUCGGGAUAAGCCUGGGAAACUGGGUCUAAUACCGGAUACGACCUCAGGAUGCAUGUCUUGUGGUGGAAAGCUUUUGCGGUGUGGGAUGGGCCCGCGGCCUAUCAGCUUGUUGGUGGGGUAACGGCCCACCAAGGCGACGACGGGUAGCCGGCCUGAGAGGGCGACCGGCCACACUGGGACUGAGACACGGCCCAGACUCCUACGGGAGGCA
rnacentral:rRNA from 1 species